GACGAACGCUGGCGGCGUGCCUAAUACAUGCAAGUCGAGCGGACAGGUCCGGCGCUUGCUGCGCGCACGUUAGGCGAACGGGUGAGUAACACGCGUGUAAACUGUCCCUAAAAGUGUGAUAACUCUUGGGAAAUGGGGCUCAUACCCGAUAGGAGCUACUGCUGCACAGUGGUGGUUGGUAAGAUUCGGUGGUGGGGGAUCGUCUAGCUGCUUACCAGCUGGUUUGGGAGGUAGUGGCUUACAAAGGCUACGACGGGUAGCCGGCCUGAGAGGGCUACCGGCCACAUGGGGACUGAGAGACGGACCAGAAUCCUACGGGACGCAGCAGUGGAGAAUAUUGCAGAAUGGGCGGAAGCCUGAUGCAGCAAUGCCGCGUGCGGGAUAAUGGCCUACGAGUUGUGAACCACUUUCGACGGUGACGAACCGUGCGUGACGGUAAUGGGUAAAGAAGCCACGGCUAACUACGUG
rnacentral:rRNA from 1 species